rnacentral:rRNA from 1 species
GCCAGCCCGCUCAGAAACUUAAAGGAAUUGACGGGGCCCGGCACAAGCGGAGGAGCAUGUGGUUUAAUUCGAUGAUACGCGAGGAACCUUACCUGGGCUCGAACGUAAGAUGACUGUAGGUGAAAGCUUACAUCUCUUCGGAGCAUUUUACGAGGUGCUGCAUGGUUGUCGUCAGCUCGUGCCGUGAGGUGUCGGGUUAAGUCCCAUAACGAGCGCAACCCCUACCUUUAGUUGCCAUCAGGUUAAGCUGGGGACUCUAAAGGAACUGCCUACGCAAGUAGUGAGGAAGCGGGGAUGACGUCAAAUCAGCACGGCCCUUACGUCCAGGGCUACACACGUGCUACAAUGGCCGAUACAGAGGGCAGCUACCUGGUGACAGGAUGCAAAUCUCCAAAGUCGGUCUCAGUUCGGAUCGGAGUCUGCAACCCGACUCCGUGAAGUUGGAUUCGCUAGUAAUCGCGCAUCAGCCAUGGCGCGGUGAAUACGUUCCCGGGCCUU